UACGGGGGGGGCAAGCGUUGUUCGGAAUUACUGGGCGUAAAGGGCUCGUAGGCGGCCAACUAAGUCAGACGUGAAAUCCCUCGGCUUAACCGGGGAACUGCGUCUGAUACUGGAUGGCUUGAGAUUGGGAGAGGGAUGCGGAAUUCCAGGUGUAGCGGUGAAAUGCGUAGAUAUCAGGAGGAACACCGGUGGCGAAGGCGGGUCUCUGGGCCGUAACUGACACUGAGGCGCGAAAGCGUGGGGAGCGAACAGG
rnacentral:rRNA from 1 species